CUUCACCGAGCCGAGCAGCAACGGCGCCUCGCCGUCCGCCCGCUGACCAUAGGUCGCCAGCAGCGCCUGCGCCUC
rfam:Streptomyces sp. SolWspMP-5a-2 genome assembly, contig: Ga0115242_1332